GUGAGUCAUCGAAUCUUUGAACGCACCUUGCGCUCCUUGGUAUUCCGAGGAGCAUGCCUGUUUGAGUGUCAGUAAAUUCUCAAACCCAUCAGCGUAUGUUGGUUGGGUUUUGGAUGUGGAGGUUUUGCCGGCCUUUGUAGGUCGACUCCUCUGAAAUACAUUAGCGGAACCGUUUGCGAUCCGUCAUAGGUGUGAUAAUUAUCUACGCCAGUGGGUUGCUCUCUGUGUUGUUCAGCUACAAACUGUCCCCAUUGUGGACAACCAUUACUGAAUAUUUGACCUCAAAUCAGGUAGGACUACCCGCUGAACUUAAGCAUAUCAAUAAGCGGAGGA
rnacentral:misc_RNA from 1 species